rnacentral:rRNA from 1 species
UACGGAGGGGGCAAGCGUUAUCCGGAUUUACUGGGUGUAAAGGGAGCGUAGACGGCUGUGCAAGUCUGGAGUGAAAGGCAUGGGCUCAACCUGUGGACUGCUUUGGAAACUGUGCAGCUUGAGUGUUGGAGAGGCAGGCGGAAUUCCGUGUGUAGCGGUGAAAUGCGUAGAUAUACGGAGGAACACCAGUGGCGAAGGCGGCCUGCUGGACAAUAACUGACGCUGAGGCGCGAAAGCGUGGGGAGCAAACAGG